GAUGAACGCUGGCGGCGUGCUUAACACAUGCAAGUCGAACGGAAAGGCCAGUGCUUGCACUGGUGCUCGAGUGGCGAACGGGUGAGUAACACGUGGGUGAUCUGCCCUGCACUUUGGGAUAAGCCUGGGAAACUGGGUCUAAUACCAGAUAGGACCAUGCUUUGGAUGGUGUGGUGGAAAGUUUUUUCGGUGUGGGAUGAGCUUGCGGCCUAUCAGCUUGUUGGUGGGGUAAUGGCCUACCAAGGCGUCGACGGGUAGCCGGCCUGAGAGGGUGUACGGCCACAUUGGGACUGAGAUACGGCCCAGACUCCUACGGGAGGCAGCAGUGGGGAAUAUUGCACAAUGGGCGCAAGCCUGAUGCAGCGACGCCGCGUGGGGGAUGACGGCCUUCGGGCUGUAAACUCCUUUCGCAACUGACGAAGCUUUUUGUGACGGUAGGUUGAGAAGAAGCACCGGCUAACUACGUG
rnacentral:rRNA from 1 species